rnacentral:rRNA from 1 species
UACGGAGGGUGCAAGCGUUAUCCGGAUUCACUGGGUUUAAAGGGUGCGUAGGUGGGCAGGUAAGUCAGUGGUGAAAUCUCCGGGCUUAACUCGGAAACUGCCAUUGAUACUAUCUGUCUUGAAUACCGUGGAGGUUAGCGGAAUAUGUCAUGUAGCGGUGAAAUGCUUAGAUAUGACAUAGAACACCAAUUGCGAAGGCAGCUGGCUACACGAAUAUUGACACUGAUGCACGAAAGCGUGGGGAUAAACAGG